rnacentral:rRNA from 1 species
UGGGGAAUCUUGGACAAUGGGGGCAACCCUGAUCCAGCCAUGCCGCGUGAGUGAUGAAGGCCUUAGGGUCGUAAAGCUCUUUCGCCUGUGAAGAUAAUGACGGUAACCGUAGAAGAAGCCCCGGCUAACUUCGUGCCAGCAGCCGCGGUAAUACGAAGGGGGCUAGCGUUGUUCGGAAUAACUGGGCGUAAAGCGCACGUAGGCGGACCAGAAAGUUGGGGGUGAAAUCCCGGGGGCUCAACCCCGGAACUGCCUCCAAAACUAUUGGUCUAGAGUUCGAGAGAGGUGAGUGGAAUUCCAAGUGUAGAGGUGAAAUUCGUAGAUAUUUGGAGGAACACCAGUGGCGAAGGCGGCUCACUGGCUCGAUACUGACGCUGAGGUGCGAAAGUGUGGGGAGCAAACAGGAUUAGAUACCCUGGUAGUCCACACCGUAAAACGAUGAAUGCCAGUCGUCGGGUAGCAUGCUAUUCGGUGACACA